UCUGCUAUCUCCCAAAAAAGAAACCCUAGUGAAUAGUGAUUGACGCGCAGCUCCGGCGGUGACGCCUCCCAGCAAUUGACGACGGUGGCGUGAGGGUAGGUGUUGCCACACCGUUAUCUCUUCAGCGUGAGAUUAGAAACUUCUGGUGCGUUAUCUCGAUCUUCUGGUGCUACAGCGUGAGCACCAACACCUACUUCUGAUGCUGUUGUUUUGGCCGCCGGCAACGACAACGUACUGAUACUCCUGCUGAACUGCCGCCAGAUUGAUUGUGCUGCAAUGGGAGAUACGGAUCAUAGCUGGAUGUAUGGGAAACGCAAUACGUUUGAAUAUAUGCAAGGGGUUGAAAAUUUUCUAAAAUAUGCUGAAGAAAAUAAAAAUAAAAAUGCUGAAGAAUUUCUAGUGUGCCCCUGUUGUGAUUGUAAGAAUCUAAGGAAAUUCCGUAGUUCUGAGCAAGUGAAGAGUCAUUUAAUAUGCCGCGGGUUUAAGAAAGGUUAUAACAGGUGGAUAUGGCAUGGUGAAAUUGUACUUCCUAGUACAAACACCGGUGAUAAUAGGAUAGGCAAUGAUGAAGAGAAUGAUGACAAUGAAAAGAAUGUAGACACUGAGAAAAAUGGGGAGAAUGAUCGAAUAGAUGAACUCAUGCGUGAUAUUCAAGGAGAUUUUGGUGAAAUGUCUCAUGUAUUUGAAAGCUUGUUUGUUGAUUCAAAAAAACCUUUGUUCUCUGGGUGUAGUAAAUUUACAAAGUUAUCUGCUGUGCUAAAAUUAUAUAACUUAAAAGCAAAGAAUGGGUGGAGUGAUAAGAGCUUUACGCAGUUAUUAGAACUUUUAAAAGACAUGCUUCCUAAUGAUAAUGAGCUUCCUAUUUCAACUUACGAGGCAAAGAAAAUAUUGUGUCCAUUGGGUAUGGAGAUUAAGAAAAUACAUGCAUGUCCAAAUGAUUGUGUACUCUAUUGGAAAGGGUAUAGUGAUUUACAUGUAUGUCCAAAGUGUGGGGCAUCACGUUACAAAAGAAAGGGUGUUGAUGAUGGGUGUGCGGGUAAGAAAGGCCCUCCAGCAAAGGUGUUAUGCUAUUUACCAAUAAUUCCAAGGAUCAAACGUUUGUUUGCAAAUCCAAUUGAUGCGAAAUAUUUGCAGUGACAUGCUAAAGGGAGAAAAGAUGAUGGAAAGUUAAGGCACCCAGCUGAUUCUCCUCAAUGGAGGAACAUUGAUAGAGCAUUUCCUAAAUUUGGUAAUGAAAAUAGGAAUCUUAGGCUUGGGUUAUGCACCGGUGGAAUGAACCCCCAUGGUAACAUGAAUAGUGGACAUAGCACUUGGCCGGUUCUUUUGGUUGCUUACAAUCUUCCUCCUUGGUUGUGUAUGAAGCGCAAGUACAUCAUGUUGUCAUUGCUUAUUUCAGGGUCUAAACAACCAGGAAUGAUAUAGAUGUGUACUUAGCACCACUUGUGGAAGAUUUAAAAAUGUUGUGGAACGAAGGCGUGACGGUGUUUGAUGCAUAUAGUCAAACAAACUUCACUUUGCGAGCCAUGAUAUUUUGCACAAUAAAUGAUUUUUCAACAUAUGGUAACUUGUCAGGCUAUACUACUAAAGGAGCGAAGGCAUGCCCUAUUUGUGAAGAUAAAACAAUUGAUCUUUGGUUGAGCAACAGUAAAAAGAACGUCUUCAUGAGUCAUCAGGUCUUUCUCCCUAUUGAUCAUCCUUAUUGAAAGAAGAUAAAGUCUUUCAACGGAAAAGCUGAGACUCGAGUUGCCCGUAAUCCAUUAUCAGGGCGUGCGGUUUAUGAACGAGUUAAAAAUCUUAAUGUUGAUUUGGGCAAAACCUCUAAAUCUGCUGAAAAGAAUCUUUGGAAAAAAAAUGUCAAUAUUUUGGGAUCUACCAUAUUGGGAGCAUUUAUCAAUACGACAUUGUCUUGAUGUUUUGGAUGUGGAGAAAAAUAUCUGUGAGAGUAUUGUUGGGACAUUAUUGAAUAUCCAAGGUAAGACUAAAGAUGACAUCAAAGCUAGAAAAGAUAUGGUAGAAAUGGGAAUACGAGAUAAGUUAGCACCGCAAGAAUCAGGAAAGCUGACAUACUUACCUCCAGCUUGUUAUACUAUGUCUAAAAAAGAGAAAACAAGCUUUUGUGGAUGUUUGAAUGAUGUGAAGGUUCCUUCAGGUUACUCAUCCAAUAUUAAAGAACUUGUGUCAAUGAAGGAUUUGAAGUUAGUUGGUUGAUGUUGUAGUGACUCUAUCUCAACUUGAAAUGUAUUUUCCUCCCUCAUUCUUUGACAUUAUGGUACACUUAAUUAUUCACUUGGUGAGAGAAAUUAAGAUGAGUGGUCCAGUGUUCUUAAGGUAUAUGUAUCCGUUUGAGAGAUACAUGGGGGUGUUGAAAGGAUACGUGAGAAAUCAGUUUCAACCAAAAUGUACUAUCAUUGAAGGAUAUGCUGCUGAGGAGGUGAUUGAGUUUUGUACUGAUUAUUUGGCAAAUUUUGAAUCCAUUGGUGUUCUUAAAUCUCGUCACGAGGGUAAUCUUACAGGGAAAGGUACUAUUGGGUAUAAACCAGUUCUACUAAGUGUUGAAAUGCGUGAUAAAACUCACCGCCUUGUAUUGCAACAUAAAUCUGAGGUUCAUCCAUACUUAGAGAACACAUGUACAUGUUAAGGCAUGGUAAUCCUUUAAAGAGUGAAGGGUGGGUGACGAUUGAACACAACCACACAUUUAUGAGAUGGUUCAAAGAUAGAGUGAUGUGAGAGUUAUCUGAAGUUACAAAUAAUAUCAGUGAAACCAUUAAGUGGCUAGCUUAUGACCCUGCUAUGCUUGUGAGCUGUUACGAAGGAUAUGACAUUAAUGGGUAUACGUUUUAUACAAAACGUCAAGAUGAUAAGAGUACUAUGCAAAACAGUGGUGUUACAUUAGUAGCACUAUCCAGAGACUACUCUAGUGCUAGAGAUACCAUGCCAGUAGAUAGUGCUAUGCCAUAUUAUGGUGUAAUUGAAGAAAUUUGGGAACUUGAUUAUAAGAUUUUCAAAAUUCCUCUAUUUCGGUGUAGUUGGGUUGAUAACAGACGAGGUGUUCAAAUAGAUGAAUUGGGUUUUACUCUAGUAGAUUUUGGUGAGCUGGGUUAUCAUGAUAUGCCAUUUAUACUUGCAUCUCAAGCAAAAGAAGUUUUUUAUGUUUCUGAUCCUGUUAACAGUAAGUGGUCUAUUGUUUUACAAGGAAAAAGAAGUAUUGUUGGCGUUGGAGAUGUUGUGGAUGAAGAAGAAUAUGAUCACUUUGAUGAAACGCCUCCAUUUUCUAUUGGUGUUCAAGCUUUAGGGGAAGAUAACAUUGAAACAAGUUACAUGCGUUGUGAUCAUGGGGAGGGCUUGUGGGUUGAUAAUCACACAUAAUCUUUUUGUUAAAAAAUUAUACAAUAUCAUGGUUUAUCAUUUGCAGUCUACUUCACAACCUACUUUAGAGUCUAAAUCAUAGCUUAAGUGAUGCAAUACAUGAAUUGAGGCAAUAAUUGAUGUAGUACAUGGAUUGAGGCAAUGAUGGUCACAUGCAUGAAGUCUAAGAGACAUGGAGUUUUGUGGCUACUUUUAUUGGAAAUUUGGAUUAGCUUUAAAUAUUCUUAAUAUUUGUAAUUCUCUUUACGUUUAUUUUACCUUUCCCAUGCAUGCUUUUAAUAUUUGCAACUCUUCUAUUUUCUUAAUUUUCUAUUUAAACAAGUUUUUGUAUUUAGAAGUUCAAGUUUUGAAUAUUUUUGAAAGUCUUUGAGUUUGAGUUAUAUUGUUUGUGUUCUUCUUGUUUCACUUAUCCUACAUCUCAAAGAUGAGAAGUCUCACAACCUGCAAGAGAUUGAAAAAGAAAAAGGUAUAUGAAGUAAUAACUGUUGAGUUUGAUGAGUAUCAUAGACCAGUCAGUCAAUUUAUGAAGAACUUCAAGUCUUGCAUUGGCACUUUGAUUCGGUUGCAUUUGGAUAUUAAUAUGAGUGAUUGACAUGAAGUUGACAAAGGACUGAAGGAUACAGUUUGGGAUUAUGUUAAGCUAGAAAGUGUUCAACAUUGAAGAUGAUCAACUGAGAGAAACAAUAUUAUAGGUUGCUAGGCAGCGGUGCAAGGAUUUUAAAAGAAGAAUAGUGUGCGAGUACAUUAACUGAUUAACAAGAAGCACCCAAAAUAUGAAUCUCUAUAUGGGUUUUAUGAUUUCAUGACUGAAGCAUAAUGGGAUAUUUUUAAAGCAAAUCGCUUGAUUGAGGAGU